AAAUUGAAGAGUUUGAUCAUGGCUCAGAUUGAACGCUGGCGGCAGGCCUAACACAUGCAAGUCGAACGGUAACAGGAAGAAGCUUGCUUCUUUGCUGACGAGUGGCGGACGGGUGAGUAAUGUCUGGGAAACUGCCUGAUGGAGGGGGAUAACUACUGGAAACGGUAGCUAAUACCGCAUAACGUCGCAAGACCAAAGAGGGGGACCUUCGGGCCUCUUGCCAUCGGAUGUGCCCAGAUGGGAUUAGCUUGUUGGUGGGGUAACGGCUCACCAAGGCGACGAUCCCUAGCUGGUCUGAGAGGAUGACCAGCCACACUGGAACUGAGACACGGUCCAGACUCCUACGGGAGGCAGCAGUGGGGAAUAUUGCACAAUGGGCGCAAGCCUGAUGCAGCCAUGCCGCGUGUAUGAAGAAGGCCUUCGGGUUGUAAAGUACUUUCAGCGGGGAGGAAGGGAGUAAAGUUAAUACCUUUGCUCAUUGACGUUACCCGCAGAAGAAGCACCGGCUAACUCCGUGCCAGCAGCCGCGGUAAUACGGAGGGUGCAAGCGUUAAUCGGAAUUACUGGGCGUAAAGCGCACGCAGGCGGUUUGUUAAGUCAGAUGUGAAAUCCCCGGGCUCAACCUGGGAACUGCAUCUGAUACUGGCAAGCUUGAGUCUCGUAGAGGGGGGUAGAAUUCCAGGUGUAGCGGUGAAAUGCGUAGAGAUCUGGAGGAAUACCGGUGGCGAAGGCGGCCCCCUGGACGAAGACUGACGCUCAGGUGCGAAAGCGUGGGGAGCAAACAGGAUUAGAUACCCUGGUAGUCCACGCCGUAAACGAUGUCGACUUGGAGGUUGUGCCCUUGAGGCGUGGCUUCCGGAGCUAACGCGUUAAGUCGACCGCCUGGGGAGUACGGCCGCAAGGUUAAAACUCAAAUGAAUUGACGGGGGCCCGCACAAGCGGUGGAGCAUGUGGUUUAAUUCGAUGCAACGCGAAGAACCUUACCUGGUCUUGACAUCCACAGAACCUUGUAGAGAUGCGAGGGUGCCUUCGGGAACUGUGAGACAGGUGCUGCAUGGCUGUCGUCAGCUCGUGUUGUGAAAUGUUGGGUUAAGUCCCGCAACGAGCGCAACCCUUAUCCUUUGUUGCCAGCGGUCCGGCCGGGAACUCAAAGGAGACUGCCAGUGAUAAACUGGAGGAAGGUGGGGAUGACGUCAAGUCAUCAUGGCCCUUACGACCAGGGCUACACACGUGCUACAAUGGCGCAUACAAAGAGAAGCGACCUCGCGAGAGCAAGCGGACCUCAUAAAGUGCGUCGUAGUCCGGAUUGGAGUCUGCAACUCGACUCCAUGAAGUCGGAAUCGCUAGUAAUCGUGGAUCAGAAUGCCACGGUGAAUACGUUCCCGGGCCUUGUACACACCGCCCGUCACACCAUGGGAGUGGGUUGCAAAAGAAGUAGGUAGCUUAACCUUCGGGAGGGCGCUUACCACUUUGUGAUUCAUGACUGGGGUGAAGUCGUAACAAGGUAACCGUAGGGGAACCUGCGGUUGGAUCACCUCCUUACCUUAAAGAAGC
rnacentral:rRNA from 1 species